rnacentral:rRNA from 1 species
CAUGUCUAAGUAUGAACUGGUUUAAGGUGAAACUGCGUACGGCUCAUUACAUCAGCUAUAACUUUCUUUGAUCAUAAAUUCUAAAUGGAAUAACCGAGGAAAAGCCUGGGCUAAUACAUGCGACAAUUCCGGUAGUAAUAUCGGAAUGCUUUUAUUAGAUCAAAACCUUCUAGUUCUUUAACCGGAACUGUUUGUUGGUGACUCUAAAUAACUUUGUGUUGAUCGUAUGACCUUUGUGUCGACGACAUAUCUUUCAAGUGUCUGACUUAUCAACUUUAGACGGUACAUUAUAUGUCUACCGUGGUUGUAACGAGUACAGAGAAUCAGGGUUUGGUUCUGGAGAGGCCGCCUGAGAAACGGCGACCACUUCCAAGGAAGGCAGCAGGCGCGCAAAUUACCCACUCUCAAAACGAGGAGGUAGUGAAGAGAAAUAACGAUGUUAGUCUUAUUUAGGCUGACAAUCGGAAUGGGAACACUGUAAACAGGUGAAAACUAAAGUUGCUGUGUUUAAAAAGCUCGUAGUUGAAUUUCGGGUAUUUGUUGCUAGCUGGUCUAACUGGCCAUGUUGGUUAACAGAUCCUCAUUUGCUGGACGGCUGGCGAUGAUCUUUAUCGAUUGUCGUCAGUUGCCAGAACGUUUACUUUGAGAAAAUUAGAGUGCUAAAAGCAGGCUUUCGCCUAUAUAUAUUGCAUGGAAUAAUGAAAUAAGAUCUCGAUUUUAUUUCGUUGGUUUUAGAAAUUGAGAUAAUGAUUAAUAGGAUCAGAGGGGGGCGUACGUACUGUGGUGUGAGAGGUGAAAUUCUUGGAUCGCCACAGGACGAACAGCAGCGAAGGCGUUCGCCAAGAAUGUUUUCAUUAAUCAAGAACGAAAGUUUGAGGUUCGAAGACGAUUAGAUACCGUCCUAGUUCAAACCAUAAACGUUGCCAACUGUCUUUUAGAUGCGGUUAUUUAUAUGACUCAUCUGGCGGAUCUCGAGAAAUCUAAGUUUUUAGGUUCCGGGGGAAGUAUGGUUGCAAAGCUGAAACUUAAAAGAAUUGACGGAAGGACACACAAGAAGUGGAGCCUGUGGCCUAAUUUGACUCAACACGGGAAACCUUACUCGGCCAGGACACUUUUAGGAUUGACAGAUUGAGAGCUCUUUCUUGAUUAGGUGGGUGGUGGUGCAUGGUCGUUCGUAGUUCGUGGAGCGAUUUGUCUGAUUAAUUUCGAUAACGAACGAGACUCCGGCUUACUAAAUAGUCUAAAGUUCGAAGGGACUUUUCAAGACUUCUUAGCAGGAUAAGUGGCACUUUUUAAGCCACACGAAAUGGAGCAAUAACAGGUCUGUGAUGCCCUUAGAUGUCCGAGGCUGCACGCGCGCUACACUGGAGAGUUCAGAAUGUUUCUUCCUACUUCGACAGAAGUGGGUAACCAUGAAAUUCUCUUCGUGACUGGGAUCGGAGCUUGCAAUUAUUCUCCGUCAACGAGGAAUUCCUAGUAAGCACUAUUUCAUCAGAAUGUGCUGAUUAUGUCCCUGUCCUUUGUACACACCGCCCGUCGCUACUACCGAUUGAAUGUUUUAGUGAGAUCUUCGGCUUGGUUUUCCGAGCGGCUCUCGGGUCGUUCGGUUUUUAUCGAAAAGAUGCUCAAACUGGAUCAUUUAGAGGAAGUAAAAGUCGUAACAAGGUAU